AUACGUAUGUCGCAAGCGUUAUCCGGAUUUAUUGGGCGUAAAGCGCGUCUAGGCGGCUUAGUAAGUCUGAUGUGAAAAUGCGGGGCUCAACCCCGUAUUGCGUUGGAAACUGCUAAACUAGAGUACUGGAGAGGUUGGCGGAACUACAAGUGUAGAGGUGAAAUUCGUAGAUAUUUGUAGGAAUGCCGAUGGGGAAGCCAGCCUACUGGACAGAUACUGACGCUAAAGCGCGAAAGCGUGGGUAGCAAACAGGAUUAGAUACCCUGGUAGUCCACGCCGUAAACGAUGAUUACUAGGUGUUGGGGGUCGAACCUCAGCGCCCAAGCUAACGCGAUAAGUAAUCCGCCUGGGGAGUACGUACGCAAGUAUGAAACUCAAAGGAAUUGGCGGGG
rnacentral:rRNA from 1 species